rnacentral:lncRNA from 1 species
AACCAAAUUUAAUAUGUCCAAACUAUAUAUUUAUAUAUCACAUUUAUUAUCAUAUCACAAACUUAUACCCUAAUUCAAUAUGCAUAAUUAUAAACCCCAUUUCCAUGACCAUUAAGACCAUAUGCAUAAACACCAAACUCAAUCAAAAUAAUAUGAGCCAUUUUCGCAUGACCAUUUAUAUACAUGUUCCAAAACUAACCAAAAACAUAAGCAAGCCUAUACAUGCUGUACAAGCCCAUUUUUUGCCCGGGCCCAUUACCAAAAUUAAAUAACCCAAUACCCAAAAACACUAACCCAGCAAACAAACCCAAACCAGACCCAUUACCCAAAACCAACCCAAACUAACAAACCCUAGCCCAAAACCCAUAACAGAAAAAACAAAAAAAAAAAUUCAAACCCUAGGUGCGCCGCACCUAGGGUCUUCUAGCCCGCCACCGCCACCACUCAGCCGCCGCCACCGUUCUGAUGCUACCGCCAUCGUCCACUUGCUCCAUCAACGUCAAUCACCUUCAAAC